GGCCCGAUGGCGUAGCGAUUACGACUCCGCUCUCAAUCGAGCACCAUUGCAUAUGUACGGAAGUCCCCCGUUCGAAUCGGGUCGAGCCA